rnacentral:rRNA from 1 species
UAGUUAUGUUCUUGAAACUUAAAAAAUUUGGCGGUAUUUUAGUCUAUUCAGAGGAACCUGUUCUUUAAUCGAUAAUCCACGAUGGNCCUUACUUAAAUUUGUAAUCAGUUUAUAUNCCCUCNNUAUUAGAAUAUUUUAUAAGAAUGUUAAUUUUCAUAAUUUUGAAAAAGAAAGUAUNUCANANCAAGGUGUAGCUUAUAUUUAAGUAGAAAUGGGUUACAAUAAAAUUAUUUAUACGAAUAUAAAUUUGAAAUAUUUAUUGAAGGUGGAUUUGAUAGUAAAAUUAUAAAGAUUAAUAAUUUGAUUUUAGCUCUAAAAUAUGCACACAUCGCCCGUCACUCUUAUUAUUAAGGUAAGAUAAGUCGUAACAUAGUAGAUGUACUGGAAAGUGUAUCUAGAAUGCAAUUUAAAGCUUAUAAAGUAAAGUAUUUCAUUUACAUUGAAAAGAUUUUUGUGCAAAUCAAUAUAAAUUGAUUAGAUUUUAUUUAUUAAUUAUUAAAAUUUUUUAAAUUAAAUUAUUAAAAAUAAUUAUAUUAUGAUUUGUUUUAGUAUUUAUUAAAAAAAAAAUAAUUUUUAUUAUAGUUUAAUAGUAUUGUGAAAGAAAAUUGAAAUA